ensembl:lncRNA
CUUAGACAGGCUGGAGAAGUGGACCCAUGAAAACCUAAUGAGGUUCAAUAAGGCCAAGUGCAGGGUGCUGCACUUGGGUCGGGGCAAUCCCAGGUAUUUAUACAAACUGGGGGAUGAUCUCCUUGAGAGCAGCCCGGCAGAGAAGGACUUGGGGGUCCUGGUAGAUGAGAAGCUGAACAUGAGCCAGCAGUGUGCACUUGCAGCCCAGAAGGCCAACUGUGUUCUGGGCUGCAUUAAAAAAGGGGUGGCCAGCAGGGAGAGGGAGGUGAUUGUCCCUCUCUACUUGGCUCUUGUGAGCCCCCAUCUGGAGUACUGCAUCCAGGCCUGGAGUCUGGUACAGGAAGGUCAUGGAGCUCUUGGAGUGGGUCCAGAGGAGGGCCACUAAGAUGAUCAGAGGGCUGGAGCACCUCUCCUAUGAGGAAAGGCUGAGGGAGCUGGGCUUUUUCAGCCUGGAGAAAAGAAGGCUGCGGGAUGGCCUAAUUGCAGCCUUUCACUACCUAAAGGGGGACAGGAGUGGAGUCAACUCUGAAAGGGUAGAUAACAGCAGGACAAGGGGAAAUAGUUUUAAGUUGAGGGAGGGAAGAUUUAGGUUGGAUGUCAGGGGGAAGUUCUUUACUAUGAGAUUGGUAAGGUGCUGGAACAGGCUGCCCAGAGAGCUUGUGGAUGCCCCGUCCCUGGAGGUGUUCAAGGCCAGGUUGGAUGGGGCCCUGGGCAGCCUGGUCUAGUAUUAAAAGUGGAGGUUGUUGGCCCUGCCUGUGGUGGGGAGGUUGGAGAUUCAUGAUCUUUGGGGUCCCUUCCAUCCCGGGUCAUUCUUUGAUUCUGUGAUUCUGUGAUGUUCAGCUUGGCCAGCACUUCUACUACUACUGAGGUUGGAUUCUGAUCUCCAACUCCUUUGUGUUCUUCUUCAAAUGUUCCCUUUCCUAAAACAAACAAUCUCAGAGUUCUUAGAAGGUCAGAUUUACAUGGUUGUUUGUCUCAGCAACCAUGUUUCCAUCUAUACCUCUCUUCAUAAACUGCAUAUUGACCCUUUUAAAAAUAGCAUUAAUUUUGAAGUUGGAAUAAAGCAAUAACUGAGGGUGUUUUAUUCCCUGACCACUGUAACAGAGACAAUUUGUCUAUUGUGCUCUAUCAGUGCUUUCUGUACUAAGCAAAGUUAUUGCAACCUUAAUAGAUAGUUAAGCUGGAGAC